rnacentral:rRNA from 1 species
UCCCGGGCCUUGUACACACCGCCCGUCACACCACGAGAGUUUGUAACACCCGAAGUCGGUAGGGUAACCUUUAUGGAGCCAGCCGCCGAAGGUGGGACAGAUAAUUGGGGUGAAGUCGUAACAAGGUAGCCGUAUCGGAAGGUGCGGCUGGAUCACCUCCUUU